rnacentral:rRNA from 1 species
GAGAGGAUGAUCAGCCACACUGGCACUGAGACACGGCCCAGACUCCUACGGGAGGCAGCAGUGGGGAAUCUUGGACAAUGGGGGCAACCCUGAUCCAGCCAUGCCGCGUGCGUGAAGAAGGCCUUAGGGUUGUAAAGCCCUUUCAGUCGUGACGAUGAUGACGGUAGCGACAGAAGAAGCCCCGGCUAACUCCGUGCCAGCAGCCGCGGUAAUACGAAGGGGGCUAGCGUUGUUCGGAAUCACUGGGCGUAAAGCGCACGUAGGCGGAUUGGUCAGUUAGGGGUGAAAUCCCAGAGCUCAACUCUGGAACUGCCUUUAAUACUGCCAGUCUUGAGUCCGAGAGAGGUGAGUGGAACUCCGAGUGUAGAGGUGAAAUUCGUAGAUAUUGGAAAGA